UACGUAGGAGGCGAGCGUUGUCCGGAAUUACUGGGCGUAAAGAGCGCGUAGGUGGCGCGAUACGACCGGUGUGAAAUCCUCCGGCUCAACUGGAGGGGGUCACUGGUAACGGUCGUGCUUAUGAGUGCAGGAGAGGGACGUGGAACUCCGGGAGUAGCGGUGAAAUGCGUAGAGACCCGGAGGAACACCAGUGGCGAAGGCGGCGUCCUGGCCUGCGACUGACGCUGUGGCGCGAAAGCGUGGGGAGCAAACAGG
rnacentral:rRNA from 1 species